UCUAAUUAUAUUCAAAGCUAACUGUGUGUUUCACGCGCCUGCGCUUACUUCCGGGGAAACACGGAUGACACGUCAGAAUGAGGAAGUGAGUCUGUUUACUAUUGAUUGUGUGGUUCACUCGUGAUGGAGAACGGGAAUUCAUUGCCUGCAGCGUGUCCUGUCGCUGAAGCUGUCCCCAUAUAUCGCAAAUGUAAUCGAAAUGACCGAAAAAGAAUAUCGGACAAGAAGAGAAGUAAAACGAGGGUAAAUAUUGGUGUGGCAUUUAAAAAAUGGAGAGAGCUUCGUGACGACCUGGGACUACGGAAAGAUGCAGAUCUCGCGUGUGUUUUAGUAGACAGUUAUCUUCGGACAAAGUCAGAGAAUCGACCUGAACAGACUGAUGAAUGGAGUUCUUCAUCUGAAACACGUUCACUAAAUGAGGUUGAGUGGGAAACUUGCACUGCGCCUUCUGUCCAGUCAGUCUCAAAAUGGAAAGGAGUCAGGGAAAAAAGAUGUUGCCCGUCAAAGACUGAAAAGUCAAGAUGAGCGAACAACCAACCAGUCAGGAAAUAAAGAAAAUAGAGAUAUUCAAGAAGACGAGGAUGGAGAAUUCAGCACCUCAAUAAGUGUGCGAGACGGACGCUACCUGGUAGAUUUGGGCAGCUCGUCAGAGUUCAUCGUUGAUGAAGAGUGCAUCCUUCAGCUGUUCAAGUCAUGCCGGGAAUGCAACAAACAGUGCACAGUUAGAAAACGAGUCAAAGGACUAAAGCUCGUGAUAAACCAGGCGUGUUGUUUCUGUCAAAGCCGCUCUAAAUGGACUAACCUGUCAGACGACGAUGACGAUGAUGAUUCCAGAUAAAUGGAAAAGAUACAGCACAUGUUCAGACUAACUCUGCCAAGCAGUGAUGCAAGUUGAGUGUCAUGUGACAGUUGUUGUACCAAGAUUACCUUGAACCAGAAAUAUGUUCCUUUGUACCUUUUCUUGAGCUUUUUUCUGAACCUUGAUCUUCUGCUGCUCUUGGGCAAGUUUUUCAGUUAAUAUUGAAGAUUUUUUUAAAUCUGUUUUUGUAUUUAUUAUUACAGUAUGUGUAUUCAUAGUUUUUCAUAUUGGCUGUUCUGUGAGCUUGUAACUGACACCUGUAAUAAGGAAAAUAAAGAAGCAAAGUAAUACAUUUCUUGUACCCUUGCAGAAAGCUGACCAAUAAACCUAUGCUGUUUGGACCUCACAGCAUGGGUCCUCGUCCAAUACAGUAUGGGCCAUUCUGUACAAUAAGUACUUUUACUUUUUGUACGUUAAGUAUGGUAUUGAUGUUAAUACUUAAGUAAAAUUUUGAAAGCUGCAUCCUCUGGUUCUGCUGCCGAGAGGAGUGAUGUUAUUGACGGAU
rnacentral:lncRNA from 1 species